rnacentral:rRNA from 1 species
UUCUCGAAUUUGAAAGAUUUAAAAAAAUUAAUGUAAUAAUUAUUAUUAAUAUGAAAUGAAAUGUUAAUAUAUCUAGUUUUAAAAGAAAAUAUAAUUUUUUUAUAUUUUUAGGGAUGAGCUUAAAAUAGGAUUGAAAAUGUUGUUAUAAUUAAUUUAUUUUAAUAUAAUUUUUAAUUAAUUUAUAAAAUAUGAUAUAAUUAGUAUUAGGUUAAAUAAAGGAAUUCGGCAAAUGUUUUUCACCUGUUUAUUAAAAACAUGUCUUUUUGUAAAUAAUUUAAAGUCUGGUCUGCCCACUGAGGCCGCGGUAUUUUGACCGUGCAAAGGUAGCAUAAUCAUUAGUUUUUUAAUUGAAAGCUGGUAUGAAAGGUUAGAUGAAAAAAAAUCUGUCUCUAUUUAAAAGAAAUUUAUUUUUAAGUUAAAAAGCUUAAAUUUCAUUGAAAGACGAGAAGACCCUAUAGAGUUUAAUUUUAAUUGGGGUGAUUAAAAAAUUAAUUAAACUUUUGAUUAUAAGAUAAAAUUACCUUAGGGAUAACAGCGUAAUUUUUUUUAGAGUUCAAAUCGAUAAAGAAGAUUGCGACCUCGA